UGCAUUCACUACUGUAAAUCGCUCUGGAUAAGAGCGUCUACUAAAUGACUAAAA
rfam:Salmo salar isolate Sally breed double haploid chromosome ssa12, whole genome shotgun sequence.